AUGGGUAGAAGUAAGGUCAAUCCUAUUUGGGGUAAGAUCUGGAAAUUAGCUUGUCCGGCGAAGGUUAAAUUUUUUAUUUGGCGUACGCUCCACGGGACUCUACCGUGUCGCGUUACACUGGCCAACAGACACAUAAAAACUCAGCCAAUAUGUCCAGCAUGUUUGGAUGGGCCAGAGGACAGGAAACAUGUAUUAUUUCUGUGCCAGAAGGCAAAAGAAGUGUGGGAAUAUUUGGGGUUGUAUGAAGUGNNNNNNNNNNNNNNNNNNNNNNNCCGUGCAGGAGAGACAGUCCUUGAAUUCUUACUCCUUAUGCCUGAUCAUGAAUUACCUAUCUUGGGCUCCCGGAAUGCAGGGGAACUAAUCGCUAUAGCUGCUUGGUAUUUAUGGUGGAAUAGACAGAAACUAGUUCAUGAGGGUAAGUCUCAGGAGGCGUCUCAAACCUCCUUGGGGAUUAGAGCUAUAACAGCGAAUUAUGUAAAUGCUCACUCACCUAGAGCAAAGAGAAAGAAUGAAGGAUGGUGCAGACCUCCAAUGGGGUUUGUUAAAUUGAAUGUGGAUGCUUCUUUUGAUCAUGAUUAACUAUGAGGCACAGCGGGUGCUGUUAUCAGAGAUGACAAAGGGAAUUUCAUAGUAGGUGGUAAUUGGAAGAUUCAGUACUGUGCGGAUGCUCUGACAGCGGAGGCGUUAGCCCUCAGGUUUGGUUUACUGCUGGCACAAAAAACGGGCUGCAAUCGUCUCAUUAUCAAUUCAGAUAAUAUGGAAGUCAUUGACACAAUGAAGAACGGUGGAGAGUCUGCGGGAGCAGCGGCGGCAAUUUUUGAGGAUUUUUUUUAUGGCAUGUGA
rnacentral:rRNA from 1 species